rnacentral:lncRNA from 1 species
AUUCCAGAUAAAUUUUUCUUCUUUUUUAUUUCUUUCUCUCAUUUCACCCCUAUUCUACCUUUUCUUAUAUAUCUUCUUCCUUUUUUCUUCAUCCCCUCCACCAAACUUUAUUUCUAACCCUAAUGCAUCUAGCCACUCCUUUCUUAGUUUUUAUCCUUUUUUUUCGGCCUUUUUCCCACUUCCUCGACCAUAGGUCUCUUUGCAACUCUCUCCUAAGCCUAACAUUGAUCAAACCCCAUUAGUAACCUAAAUCGAACCCCAACCUAACCCUUAACCCUAACACUAGUUCUAAAAUAACCAUAGCACCACCCUAACCUUAAUC